GUAAAUAUUGUUUUCACUUAAAGAUUGCAACAAGUUCCAUCUUUUAGAAAGUUGGAAAUCAUCACAUUGAAGAUUUCAAAAACGAUAUUCAACCAUGGCAAAGAAAGGAAAAGCUCGAGUUAGAAAUGAGGCAACAUCAACGUUACAAGAUGAUCAAAUAUCAAAUCAAAUAGAAGAAGAAAAUGUAGAAACUAAUCCCAAUCAUUCAGAAGCACCAUCAUCAAAUCCAUCAACUAAUGAAGUAUGUUCUUCGGCUCCCCCAACCAAAAGACACAAAAAGGAUCAUGCUAUUGGGGAACAAAAUGUCAGAGGAAAAGCUAAAGGUGUCAAAUCAGGAGAGGGAAUUGAGGUUGAGAUAUAUGAUGGA